AGGACGUGCUAAUCUGCGAUAAGCGUCGGUGAGGUGAUAUGAACCGUUAUAACCGGCGAUUUCCGAAUGGGGAAACCCAGUGUGUUUCGACACACUAUCAUUAACUGAAUCCAUAGGUUAAUGAGGCGAACCGGGGGAACUGAAACAUCUAAGUACCCCGAGGAAAAGAAAUCAACCGAGAUUCCCCCAGUAGCGGCGAGCGAACGGGGAGGAGCCCAGAGCCUGAAUCAGUGUGUGUGUUAGUGGAAGCGUCUGGAAAGGCGCGCGAUACAGGGUGACAGCCCCGUACACAAAAAUGCACAUAUUGUGAGCUCGAUGAGUAGGGCGGGACACGUGGUAUCCUGUCUGAAUAUGGGGGGACCAUCCUCCAAGGCUAAAUACUCCUGACUGACCGAUAGUGAACCAGUACCGUGAGGGAAAGGCGAAAAGAACCCCGGCGAGGGGAGUGAAAAAGAACCUGAAACCGUGUACGUACAAGCAGUGGGAGCCUCUUAAUGGGGUGACUGCGUACCUUUUGUAUAAUGGGUCAGCGACUUAUAUUCUGUAGCAAGGUUAACCGAAUAGGGGAGCCGAAGGGAAACCGAGUCUUAACUGGGCGUUAAGUUGCAGGGUAUAGACCCGAAACCCGGUGAUCUAGCCAUGGGCAGGUUGAAGGUUGGGUAACACUAACUGGAGGACCGAACCGACUAAUGUUGAAAAAUUAGCGGAUGACUUGUGGCUGGGGGUGAAAGGCCAAUCAAACCGGGAGAUAGCUGGUUCUCCCCGAAAGCUAUUUAGGUAGCGCCUCGUGAAUUCAUCUCCGGGGGUAGAGCACUGUUUCGGCAAGGGGGUCAUCCCGACUUACCAACCCGAUGCAAACUGCGAAUACCGGAGAAUGUUAUCACGGGAGACACACGGCGGGUGCUAACGUCCGUCGUGAAGAGGGAAACAACCCAGACCGCCAGCUAAGGUCCCAAAGUCAUGGUUAAGUGGGAAACGAUGUGGGAAGGCCCAGACAGCCAGGAUGUUGGCUUAGAAGCAGCCAUCAUUUAAAGAAAGCGUAAUAGCUCACUGGUCGAGUCGGCCUGCGCGGAAGAUGUAACGGGGCUAAACCAUGCACCGAAGCUGCGGCAGCGACACUAUGUGUUGUUGGGUAGGGGAGCG
rnacentral:rRNA from 1 species